GUGCCAGCCGCCGCGGUAAUACGUAGGGUGCGAGCGUUGUCCGGAAUUACUGGGCGUAAAGAGCUCGUAGGUGGUUUGUCGCGUUGUUCGUGAAAACUCACAGCUUAACUGUGGGCGUGCGGGCGAUACGGGCAGACUAGAGUACUGCAGGGGAGACUGGAAUUCCUGGUGUAGCGGUGGAAUGCGCAGAUAUCAGGGGGAACACCGGUGGCGAAGGCGGGUCUCUGGGCAGUAACUGACGCUGAGGAGCGAAAGCGUGGGGAGCGAACAGGAUUAGAUACCCUGGUAGUCCACGCCGUAAACGGUGGGUACUAGGUGUGGGUUCCUUCCUUGGGAUCCGUGCCGUAGCUAACGCAUUAAGUACCCCGCCUGGGGAGUACGGCCGCAAGGCUAAAACUCAAAGGAAUUGACGGGGGCCCGCACAAGCGGCGGAGCAUGUGGAUUAAUUCGAUGCAACGCGAAGAACCUUACCUGGGUUUGACAUGCACA
rnacentral:rRNA from 1 species